GUUAUCUUUAAAUGCCCUUACUCCUAGCAGUUUAAACACUUAGAAUGAGGUGAUCUUACAUGGUCACUGGCAUUUUAUCCAGCUCCCUAAAGUGUUAGAAAUUAUCAUUGAAAAAUGAAAGACUUUUAAAAAGAUAUAUCAGAUACACUUGCACCAGAGACGCUUAAAAAAAAAAAAAUACACUCUCAUAGCCAGGUGCACCAACUUUUAACUAGAGUGGACAAAGCACCUUUGAGUACUUCGCAAAAUUGGAGCAGAUAGAGAAUUUAAGCUUCAAGUAUUUUCUGGUUUUAAAAAGAAUACACGUUUUCUUUACUCUGUAGCAGCCGGGGAAGGUCACACAAAGUUUGUAUCAGGUAAGGCCAACUGCCACCUUGGGUAGCCUAUGGUCAUGUUCAGCCAUGACAAUGACUCAGAACUCACAGACUAACGUGAAGGAAACAGCAUCCAUUUGAAGACCCAUGUUCCCAUCCACAGCUCUGUGCCCUGA
rnacentral:lncRNA from 1 species